rnacentral:tRNA from 1 species
GGAGGGUAUAGCUCAAAUGGUAGAGCACGUGCUUAGCAUGCACGAGGUCCUGGGUUCAAUCCCCAGUACCUCCA